rnacentral:rRNA from 1 species
GACGAACGCUGGCGGCGUGCCUAACACAUGCAAGUCGAACGGAGAUACGAUUUCGGUUGUAUCUUAGUGGCGAACGGGUGAGUAACGCGUGAGCAACCUGACUCUUAGAGGGGGAUAACAUUCGGAAACGGGUGCUAAUACCGCAUAAGACCACGACAUGGCAUCAUGACGAGGUCAAAGGAGCAAUCCGCUGAGAGAGGGGCUCGCGUCCCAUUAGAUAGAUGGCGGGGUAAUGGCCCACCAUGUCAGCGAUGGGUAGCCGAGCUGAGAGGCUGAUCGGCCACACUGGAACUGAGACACGGUCCAGACUCCUACGGGAGGCAGCAGUGGGGAAUAUUGGGCAAUGGGCGCAAGCCUGACCCAGCAACGCCGCGUGAGGGAAGAAGGCCUUCGGGUUGUAAACCUCUGUCCUUGGUGACGAAACAAAUGACGGUAGCCAAGGAGGAAGCCCCGGCUAACUACGUCGCCAGCAGCCGCGGUAAUCUAGUCU